rnacentral:rRNA from 1 species
UUGGUUUCUCCCUUCUGACGAACCAUGAUGUCAUUUAUUUGGUGUUGUGGGGAAUCAGGACUGUUACUUUGAAAAAAUUAGAGUGUUUAAAGCAGGCUCACGCUUGAAUACAUUAGCAUGGAAUAAUGAAAUAGGACGUUUGAUUCUAUUUUGUUGGUUUCUAGGAUCGACGUAAUGAUUAAUAGGGAUAGUUGGGGGCAUUAGUAUUCAAUUGUCAGAGGUGAAAUUCUUGGAUUUAUUGAAGACUAACUACUGCGAAAGCAUUUGCCAAGGAUGUUUUCAUUAAUCAAGAACGAAAGUUAGGGGAUCGAAGACGAUCAGAUACCGUCGCAGUCUUAACCAUAAACUAUGCCGACUAGGGAUCGGAUGAUGUUAAUUUUUUAAUGACUCAUUCGGCGCCUUACG